GAUGAACGCUGGCGGCGUGCAUAACACACUCAAGUCGAACGGUGAACCCUUCGGGGGGAUCAGUGGCGGACGGGUGAGUAACGCGUGAGCAACCUGCCCUUAUGUGGGGGAUAACGUCUGGAAACGGACGCUAAUACCGCCUAAUACAACCGAAUCGCAUGUUUUGGUUGUCAAAGGUUUAUUGCGGAAGGAUGGGCCCGCGUCUGAUUAGAUAGUUGGUGGGGUAACGGCCUACCAAGUCAACGAUCAGUAGCCGAACUGAGAGGUUGAACGGCCACAUUGGACCUGAGAAACGGUCCAGACUCCUACGGGAGGCAGCAGUGGGGAAUAUUGGGCAAUGGGCGAAAGCCUGACCCAGCGACGCCGCGUGAAGGAAGAAGGUCUUCGGAUUGUAAACUUUAAACAACAGGGACGAAGAAAUGACGGUACCUGUUAGGAAGCCACGGCUAAUUACGUGCCAGCAGCCGCCGUAAAAC
rnacentral:rRNA from 1 species